CCCGUUGUACACACCGCCCGUACACACCAUGGGAGUCAGUUGCUCCAGAAGUGGCUUGCCCAACCGAAAGGAGGGCGGUCCCCAAGGAGUGGCUGGUAACUGGGGUG
rnacentral:rRNA from 1 species